AAAAGGCAUCUUUUAUCUUUUAAAAGACCUAGUAAUAGGUAUGCUUUAGGAGGGGCUUGCGCCAUAUUAGUUAGUUGGUAGGGUAAUGGCCUACCAAGACGAUGAUGUGUAGCUGGACUGAGAGGUUGAACAGCCACAUUGGGACUGAGACACGGCCCAAACUCCUACGGGAGGCAGCAGUAGGGAAUUUUCGGCAAUGGAGGAAACUCUGACCGAGCAACGCCGCGUGAAUGACGAAGUACUUCGGUAUGUAAAGUUCUUUUAUCAAGGAAGAAAAGCAAAUGGCGAACCAUUUGUUUGCCGGUACUUGAUGAAUAAGCCCCGGCUAAUUAUGUGCCAGCAGCCGCGGUAAGACAUAAGGGGCAAGUGUUAUCCGGAAUUAUUGGGCGUAAAGGGUGCGUAGGCGGUCUAGUAAGUCAGUGGUGUAAUGGCAACGCUUAACGUUGUCCGGCUAUUGAAACUGCUAAACUUGAGUUAGAUAGAGGCGAGUGGAAUUCCAUGUGUAGCGGUAAAAUGCGUAAAUAUAUGGAGGAACACCAGAGGCGUAGGCGGCUCGCUGGGUCUUAACUGACGCUGAGGCACGAAAGCGUGGGGAGCAAACAGGAUUAGAUACCCUGGUAGUCCACGCCGUAAACGAUGAGUACUAAGUGUCGGGUUAAACCGGUACUGAAGUUAACACAUUAAGUACUCCGCCUGAGUAGUACGUACGCAAGUAUGAAACUUAAAGGAAUUGACGGGACUCCGCACAAGCGGUGGAUCAUGUUGUUUAAUUCGAAGAUACCCGAAAAACCUUACCAGGUCUUGACAUGUUUUUGCAAAAUGAUAGUAAUAUCGUGGAGGUUACCAGAAACACAGGUGGUGCAUGGUUGUCGUCAGCUCGUGUCGUGAGAUGUUAGGUUAAGUCCUAAAACGAGCGAAACCCUUAUCGUUAGUUGCCAGCACGUUAUGGUGGGGACUUUAACGAGACUGCCAAUGAUAAAUUGGAGGAAGGUGAGGAUCACGUCAAAUCAGCAUGCCCCUUAUGACCUGGGCUACAAACGUGAUACAAUGGCUGUUACAAAGGGUAGCUGAAACGCAAGUUCUUGGCCAAUCCCCAAAAACAGUCCCAGUCCGGAUUGAAGUCUGCAACUCGACUUCAUGAAGUUGGAAUCGCUAGUAAUCGCGAAUCAGCAUGUCGCG
rnacentral:rRNA from 1 species